AACGAACGCUGGCGGCAUGCCUAACACAUGCAAGUCGAACGAGACCUUCGGGUCUAGUGGCGCACGGGUGCGUAACGCGUGGGAACCUGCCCUUAGGUUCGGAAUAACUCCCCGAAAGGGGUGCUAAUACCGGAUCAUGUCUUCGGACCAAAGAUUUAUCGCCUUUGGAUGGGCCAGCGUUGGAUUAGCUAGUUGGUAGGGUAAAAGCCUACCAAGGCGACGAUCCAUAGCUGGUCUGAGAGGAUGAUCAGCCACACUGGGACUGAGACACGGCCCAGAAUCCUACGGGAGGCAGCAGUGGGGAAUAUUGGACAAUGGGCGAAAGCCUGAUCCAGCAAUGCCGCGUGAGUGAUGAAGGCCUUAGGGUUGUAAAGCUCUUUUACCCGGGAUGAUAAUGACAGUACCGGGAGAAUAAGCUCCGGCUAACUCCGUG
rnacentral:rRNA from 1 species